rnacentral:tRNA from 1 species
AGAUACUAAGUCAAAAGGUAUAGGCAUAGGGUUCAUGCCCCUAAAAAAGCAGGUUCAAGUCCUCGCAGUAUCUA